GCGAAGUGAUGAUAGCAAUUCAUUCGUCUGUCAAUCCGCUGAUACUGCGUGAUGUUUAUAUGAAUCCCGACAGGUUCUGAUCGC
rfam:Vigna angularis cultivar Jingnong 6 chromosome 1, whole genome shotgun sequence.